CUUGCCGCGUAAGGUUCUUGGUUUUUGUCAUAUUCAUCCGAUUAGGUAAUGUGACUUGCUAAGCCUUUACACGACUAAAAGUUUGGUAAAACGGCCCCUUAAUUUAUUUUUGAGUACAUUAUUUUUUCGUCCCUAUGGUAAUAUAUAUAAGAAUAAGUUGGUUAGGUUUUAGUAAAUUACUUUUUCCCUCAACUUAUGCUUAGUUUUCACGAUCUUCGAUUUUUUUGCCUUAUGUUACUUUAUUUUUUGUAUUUAUUCUAAUGUGAUUGAAUAAGUAAGCAUUCCAAUACAGUUUUCUUCAACUAGUUUUAACAUUUGGUAUUAGGCUAAUUGAUAAAAAAGUGAGUAGUAGUAUCUGCAAUUGCAAGUUUGUGCCAUUAGCAAUUCCCAAAUUCGAUCGUUAUGGAUAACGUCCAUCAUGCGAAGGUGUAUUGGACGUUGACGGAGGAUGGGGUUGUCGCUACCGGUAGAGAACCAACUGAGGCAGAACUGAAGGUGAUAGAGGAGAUCGAAGGACAAUUCUAAAUGAUGACACCUCAAAGCAGAUUUGGGUCUCUAUCCAACAUAAAUUCAAAUGCUCAACCAUGUUGGGACGGACCUAGAAUUUUUUUCAAACAGUGGCACCGUUUUACUAUAAGAAAAAGAUAUAGGGAAAAAAAUUUCUAACGGUACUAUAAGAAACAAAUAUACAUAUUUUUUUUUCAAAUGGUGACAACAUUUGAAUGACACUAACAGGAUUCAAACUUGGAUAUGGGGUGGAAAAAAAAAGCCUUAAUCACUACAACAAAAAAGGGUUUAUAUGACACUAUUUUGGGACACUUUUCAAGACCCGUCCUUUAAAAGGGAUAACAAGACACAUUAUUUUAUGAGUCCUAUUUGAUUUAGUUUAGUAGGACUCUUAAUUUUGUUGUCUUAUUAAGCUUUCUUAGUGUCCUAUCAUCCAAGUCUAAUACGACACUUUUCAAUGUCAAUUUAUUUUAGAGUCUAAUAGGACACUUUUUAAGUGUCUUAUUAUUUUAAAAGACUAAUAAGACAUUCUGAUGUGUCAUAAUUUUAGAAACUAAUAGGACAUUUUAAAGUGUCGUGUUAUUUUCAAAAGUUAAUAGGACAUUUUUGAUUGUUGUAUUAGUGUUUAAAAGCUAAUAGGACACUUUUGAUUGUUGUAUUAGUGUUUAAAAGCUAAUAGGACACUUUUUAGUGUCCUGUUAAAGUUUAAAAUAAUAUGAAUAACAUUAUAUUUAUAUUUAUUUAUUUUAAAAUUAAUAGAUAUUUUUCUUAAUUUAGUUUUAAAGAGUCCCAACAUUAGAUCCAUCACUAAUUAAAAGUCCAAUAAAAAAUCUUUUAAUUUUAAAAAAGAACAGCACACCCUCUUUCUCCGUAAAAUUCACCAUUUGCUUUUGAAAUGCUUCCAUGGAAGUCUACUGGGAUCCUUCCUUCAAACAGUUGGGGGAUAUUAGAAGAAACGUUUUCGGGCUACUACUCAAGCUCGCCUAACGGACCUUAGUCAUCGGCAACCUCCAAAAAUAUCGUCUCCGAGAGGAAUAGAAGGAAGAAGUUGAAUGAUAGGCUCUUUGCACUUAAGGCAGUGGUCCCUAAUAUUAGUAAGAUGGAUAAGGCUUCGAUAAUCAAAGACGCAAUUGAUUAUAUUCAAAUGUUGCAAGAUCAAGAGAGAACGAUCCAAGCAGAACUAAUGGAGCUCGAGUCUCGAAAAUUAUAGCUGGAAAAUUUGGACUUUUGUCAAUAGACCGAGUUUCUGCCAAUGGAAAGAUCAAAGAAGAAAAAGCUUGAACAAGCCUUGGAUUCGAGUGGAUCAAGAACAUAUCCCAUCCAAGUUAUACAAGUAAGUCUUGAUCGUUCUAAAUCAACCUCUCUAGGUGUUAUUUAAACUCAUUUUACAUCUAAUCUUUUACAUUUUCAAGAUUAAUUAUUUUUUGUAUAAUUUAUCAAAAUAUAUGAUGCAAUUCAUAUAUGCUAAUAAACUUGACUUUUAAUGAUAUGGAAUAUGAU